rnacentral:lncRNA from 10 species
GGAGUUUCCAUUCCUCUUCACCUCCCUGCCCUACUCUCUUCCUUGGGGGAAAAGGUUUUAUGUAAAGGACAUAGACAAGAGUUUGUAAGAUCAAUCGAUUUUGAAGCGUUGCUGUAAGAAUUGGUCCAUGUUAGCAAGAGAAGUUUUGCCUUCUUGUAGAGCCCUCACUCUGCAGACGGAAGGAUCUGAGUUCCCUAGGAUAAUGGACAUUACCACUCCUGUGUGUUGAGGCAGCCUCGGUAUUUGCACAGCUGGGAGAGACCUACUGGGACGUUUGAUGCAAAGCCAGAAAACCAGAUUUCUGGCUUGGGCAAUUGGCUAAAUGGUACUGAAUGGUGGUGUUGUUUCCUGAGACAGGCGACACAGAAGAAGGAAGAGGAGGAAUUCAGUCUGAGGCAGGUCGAGUAUACGCUGCUGGAGGCAUUAAGGUGAAGGUUUUUGUUGUAGGCAGAACAAUGGCCCCCUAAAGAUGUCCAAAUCCAGGUCCCUGGAAUUUAUGAGUAGGUUACUAUAUAUGGCAAAAGGGACUUUGAGUUGUGAUUAAGGGGUGUUAUGGGCUGAACUGCAUUGCCCCCAAAUUCUUAUAUUAAAAUUUGAAUCCCCAGCACCUCAGAAUUGGACUGUAUUUGGAGACAGAGUGUUUAAAGCGGUCAUUAGGUUAAUGUUGUCAUGAGGGUGGGCCCUAAUCAAAUCUGCCUGGUGUCCCUGUAAGAAGAUGAGAUUAAGGAACAGACACAUACUGAGAAAGGACCACAUGGACACACAGGGAGAAGACGGCCAUCUGCAAGCCAAACAGAGAGCCCUCAGAAGAAACCAAACCUGCUGACACCUUGCUCUCCGACUUCUGGCCCACAGAACUGUGAGAAAACAAAUUUCUGGUGUUUAAGCCAUCCAGUCUCGGCACUUUGUCAUGGCAGCCUGAGCAGACUCAUAAAAGGAUUUUGAGAUUGGGGGUUAUCCUGGGCCAUCCAGGAGGGCCCAAUGUAAGGUCUCAAUAUAAGUGCCCAAUAUACAGCAUCACAUAGGGGUCCUUAUAAAUGAAAGACAGAGGCAGGAGGGCCGGAGAAAAGCUGUGAUGACAUAAGAACACCAGCCGUCUUCUGUGGACAUUGGCUACGAAGAUGGAAGGGGUCUCAAACCAGGGACUGCAGGCGGCCUCCAGAAGCUGAAAAAAGCAAGGAACAGAUUCUCCCCUAGAGACUCCAGAAGGACACAACCCUGCCUGUACCUGGGCUUUAGCCCUGUGAGAUCCAUGUUGGACUACUCACCUCCAGAACUGUGAGAAAUAAAUUUUUGUUGGUUUAAGCUACUAAAG